rnacentral:snoRNA from 1 species
CAUUAAUUAUGAAAGACCAAGCGUAGAUUAUAUCACAAGUGUCUAAAACCCUAACCUCAGACCAAAGCUCUUCUCAUGCUUUUUAAUGGCCCAUAAAGCAGCUGGG